UACGUAGGGUGCAAGCGUUGUCCGGAAUCAUUGGGCGUAAAGCGCGCGUAGGUGGCUUUGUAAGUCCGUUGUGAAAGUCAAAGGCUCAACCUUUGAAUGCCGAUGGAUACUGCAGAGCUAGAGUACGGAAGAGGCGAGUGGAAUUCCUGGUGUAGCGGUGGAAUGCGCAGAUAUCAGGAGGAACACCAAUAGCGAAGGCAGCUCGCUGGGACGUUACUGACGCUGAGGAGCGAAAGCGUGGGGAGCGAACAGG
rnacentral:rRNA from 1 species